AAGGAGAAAGGAGGGGGUGCUCUGUGGGGCAGGGGGGAGAAGAAUGGAUGUUAUGGGAGACAACAAAGGAUACUGGUUCCAGAGCCACAGCCUCACCUGACCUCAGCCGGGGGGAAAGAGUUACACUCACAGGUUUGAGGAUUCAUACCGAGUCUGUGGUACUUUGAAAAAGAUGUUUACUUUUGGAACCGAAAUUUGCAGUGAAAAAUGACCAGCUUCUUGCUAUUGCACAAAGGAAAAGAGAAAUCCCUUCUUGCUCAUCACUUUCUCUGCCAUAGUAUCUCUGUUGCCUUCAAAUAUGUACAGAUUCAUGAGAAAAUCAACACUAUAUCAAAUUCUUAAUAGCUAUUUUGAUUGCCCAUCUGAGAGUCCACAUCUAUUAAUAAACCUGAAUGAUACACAAUGGCUGAGAUUCUAUUUCUGUAUCAGCUUCUGGCUUUUCAAAGUCUGCUUUAGUUGGAAGUUAAGAGCCAGAUUGUGCCCAUAGGCACAGCCCUUGGUAAGAAGUAGUGUGUAAGCUCUGUUGUACCACCCUGCAAGUACCUCCAGGAGACGUUGUGCUUUGGAGACACCUGUGUGAGGCAUGCAUCCUCUGAAGAUCCCCUGUUCCAUUCCCCACACCACAACACCUCCAGCCAACUCUGGUAUGAAGAGAGCAGAACCAUGGUUCCAUCUCUUUUCUGUCUAAACCUCUUUGCCGACUUGUUUGCUAGGUCGGGAGCAGUAACUUCAAUGCACUCCUACAACGAAGAUCAAAACCAAAGAUCUGCAUACCCAUAAUGCCAUGAGGAAAUCUUAAUUAUCACUUUCCUAUACCACUGUAUAACCACAAUCUAGUCCUAAUGUUGUGGAGAAUUUUCUUUUGAAAUAAACUAGAGCGUUGCCAGCUAAUUUUCAGUAUUUUUCACUUUUCUGUGCAACUCAUCAUGUUCUAGGUAUCUAACUUUGGCUCUUAUGAAAGCUCAUACUUCUCCAUGUAAUGCAGUCCUUCUUCUAAAUAAAUGUGGUGUUGCAAAAUGAA